ensembl:misc_RNA Metazoa_SRP Metazoan signal recognition particle RNA
GCUGGGCAGGGUGGUGCAUGCCUGUAAUCCCAGCUACUCCGGAGGCUGAGGCAGGAGAAUCACUAGAACCCAGGAGGUGGAGGUUGCAGUGAGCCAAGACUGCACCACUGCACUCCAGCCUGGAUGACAGAGUGAGACCCUGUCUCUA